AAGUGCUUGGCCGAGAUCGUGAAUUUUUUAACAAAUGACCUCAAAUCAGGCAAGAAUACCCGCUGAACUUAAGCAUAUCAAUAAGCGGAGGAAAAGAAACUAACAAGGAUUCCCCUAGUAACGGCGAGUGAAGAGGGAAGAGCUCAAAUUUUAAAUCUGCCUUGUUUCAAGGUCGAGUUGUAAUUUGAAGAAGCGUUUUCUUGGGCUCGCGGCCGGUAGAAGUUCUUUGGAACAGGACAUCAUAGAGGGUGACAAUCCCGUCUGCGACCGGUCGUGCGUUCAUCUACGAUACGCUUUCAAAGAGUCGAGUUGUUUGGGAUUGCAGCUCCAAAUGGGUGGUAAACAUCACCUAAGGCUAAAUAUUGGCGAGAGACGAUAGCGAACAAGUACCGUGAGGGAAAGAUGAAAAGAACUUUGAAAAGAGAGUUAAACAGUACGUGAAAUUGUUGAAAGGGAAACGAUUGAAGUCAGUCGUGCUGGCGCGAAAUCAACCCUCUCGUCGAGAGGACACAUGGCGUGGCGAGCCUCAAAACCGUCACGAAGCGUGAACUCUUGGCGAAAAGGAGCACUUUCGUGUCCGCUGGUUAACAUCAAUUUCGAACGUCAUAAAAAGGCUGGAGGGAUGUGGCUCCUUCGGGAGUGUUAUAACCUUUAGCGGAAUGUGGUGGUCGGGAUUGAGGAUUGCAACGAAUACCUUUAGGGCUGUUCCACCUGGCCUCUCUUUGGUAUCCUGGUGACGACAGCUUGCUGACGUUGUUAGGAUUCGCCAUUGAACAGGCUAGAGUGUGAGCAAAUUCGUUAAGGAUGUUAACGUAAUGGCUUUAAACGACC
rnacentral:rRNA from 1 species